AAGAGCCUGAGAAGUUUGGAACAAGUAUAAGAUCUCUGACCGUCACUACAUCAGGUGUUUGAUUCACGACCAUGUGCAGUAGUACCGACUGUCUCACUUCAAAAGAAAAGAGACGAGGCACAGCGAGAGGCAACGGUUUUAUUUUCAAACGCCGUAGAGCUCCACAGAAGGGUGUUAGUGUCGAGACCACGAGUCCUCAACAUCACAGACAGGCAAACACAGAGAAGACAGGACGGACGACACCAACGACGGGUAACUUUUGAGCCUGCGUAGCAACAGCACGCGAUACCGACGACCUCCAACACAACACCAGCGUGUGCAUCUGGCUCUCUAAUAGCCAUCAGGAGGAAAUCCAGUAUCCAUAACAUACGGUAAAAAGCAAAAAAGGCGAACAGUACUGCUCAAUGGAAGACAAGUGAAGUCAGAACAAACCAUCAAAAAUACAAAAACAAAUAAUUGUGGGCUGGCUUAAAUAUAUUUCUCUGAGCAAACGGCUCAAUCAGUCUCAAAAUACACUUGUUUCUUCACUAAGACAAUACUGGGGCUUUUGCCAAUUUACGAAAAACACACAUUUUACAUUAAUGUUGGCCAAUGUUCUUCUUUUUUUCCUACCCAUACCCCAACUUCUAAGCAGCCAUUAGUUUAACGACUCCAGUAGCCCAGCAUUAGUUGUAAUAGUAAAGUGAUCACUUCAGUCACUUAUGUGGUACAUUCAGGUGCUGGUGUAACACUCAGGUUUCAAGAAUUCAGCGUUGGUUGCUGUAAUGCACUUAGUACACGGGUCAUAAUGUCCAAAACUCAAAAUCAGACGGGAGAAAAGAAAAUCAGAUUGAGAACUUGAAAAGGUUAAGUCGUGUGGAUUAUUGUCGCCAACCUCCAGCUGGGAGAAUUAAAUCUCCAGCACAAAAGUAUGCAAGCAGCCUUUCAGUCACAUCAGCAGAUAACAACAGUACUGUGAUGAUAAGGAAACCCAGCCGGAAGUUAAAUUAAGCACUUAAAUUAAGGAAAUCUACAGACUGCUGAGAAAAACACAAACAAGAAUACUACAUGAAGAAAACCGGCAGUAUUAUUUACUACUCGUGGUUUGUAGUCCUCUUGGCUAUUUAUGGCCUUCAUAUGCAAUAUGAUGUCAGUCAGUUAACAAUAUCAGCCAUUUAAAAUAAGCACUACAUUAAUAGGUGUGUUCAGUCUACUGCUAGAGAGAUGUAGAAUAUUAUUAAAAAGGGUCAGUCCAUCCAAAUAAGGAAAUUGUAAUAAUGAAAGAAAUAAAUGUCCCACUUCCCAGGUUAACCGUGGUGUUUAAAUCUUUAAAAUACUCACCUGUCAAGAACAAAUGUCAAAGUUACUCUGUAUAAUCCAAAGACUCUGUUGAGUUAUAUCCCACAUUUCACUUUUUCAAAACAUAGCAUUUUGAUAAUUUGAUCAUCUCAAAUUAAAUGACAUUAAACUCAAGUGUACACAGCAGGAAUCAAAGAAGCCGACUUCUCAAAACAGCAGCAUUUAACCAAAACUAUCCUCCGAGAUCAUUCUAAGAGUAAGUAGGAAAAUAGGUUUUGAACUGACCCUCUAAGAUAUAGAAUAUAAAAAGGAUGAUUCAUUGAGAACCUUGUUGUAUCAUAUUGGACAUUUUACCAAACAAUUUCCACAAAUGGUGCAAAAACAGCUGCGGAAAAAUAUAUAGUUUGGGCCCCAAAGAGCAGGAGUUUGUCCACCGUCGUCUUUGUGGUGGGAAACAACUAAAUUCCGUUAAAUGCAAAGACAUCACAGUGCUGAGCAGCGUGAACAUGAGCGGCAAUAAACAAAAUGGUUGGUGAAGCGUACAGUCCUGAAAAUAGAGACAUCUCUCUCUCUCUCUCUCUCUCUCCUCUUUUGCAAUUGAAGUUGAGUCAUUAGUUAUGAGGCACCGCAGUGUUUGACUAAAUAACUUGGUGUUUUUUUUCUUGGUGUCAAAGCAUCUUUUGGUCAAGCAGAAAGAGCAGCGAGACGAGGGGCGGCUUCCAAAUGCAUCCAAAAGCACCGGGGAGAAGUGCACCUGUCACACCCACCUCGCCCUCCCUGACUCUAGUCGUCCACGGUGAUGUUGCGGAACAAGUAGGCCAUGGACUCUCCGUUGUGGAUGCGGCGGAUGGCCUCAGCCAAUAUCAUGCUGACGUCCACAGUCUUGAUUUUGGGACACUGUAGCUUCUGUACUUCAUGUGGGACAGUGUUGGUCACCACCACCUGAGGGUUGAAUAAUCAGAGAUUGCAUUUAGACUUAAUGAGACAGUUUAAAAGCAAUUUACCGGUGCAAUUUCUAGUCGGGCUGAAAGGUUUAUACGGCAGUGACAGCAGGAUUCGGUCAUGAGGAAACUCAAGAGACCAUCGUUGUAUAAAAACUACCCUAGUGUACCUCCUUCACCUGUGAACUGUGGUAACUAACUGCUGCAAUGUGAUUGGUUGAUGGUUAAAGAAAACUGAUUAGAGGUGAAAUUGUACAACUUUUGAAUGCAUAAAAAGCAAAAAAAAGGUUGACUAUACGGAUUGUUUUCUGAGUACUGGACAGUUAGGAGGAACUGAAAUUUGAAGCUAUAAGUUUACAGAAAUACAACUGCAAUAUAAUGAUCCUUUCUAGUUAUAGCAGAGUUAUCUUAUUCCAUAACAAAGCAGCUGAAAAGUCCUCCACUAGGAGGAAGUAUCAUCUUUCAUAUUGUGUUUAUAAAGAAUAGCCGAGUAAGAAAGGGGAACAUUAUCUGCAGCUUUCAAACAGGCGUUUCAGUUUCUACCUCUUUAGCUUCCAUUAUGAUAUUGUACAGUAUGAAUCAGACUCAACAAGAAGGUUAUUGAAAAUAACACUUGUCCUCACUUCAUCAAUGGCUGAUUCCUCGAUGAGACGUGGAGCGUCAGCGGACAGUAACCCGUGUGUGGCCAUGAUAUAAAUCUUAUAGGCUCCCCUCUCUUUCAGGAUCUCAGCAGCUGCAACAAAGUCUCCGACAUCAUCGAUGAUGUCAUCCUGGAAGAAGAAAGGAACAAUACUUUUAUUUGAAAAACAAGUCAGUGAAUUGACUUGGGAUCGCCUGUUAUACAUGAAAAUUCAUUGUUAGCCACCACAAGCAGCUGGUCAUAACAGACCACAUUAUGCUGGAGCAGCAAAACACCCAGUCUUAUAUUGAAACAGGAAGAAAGUGUCAUUAAUUCUUCAAAAUUACAGUCUCACUUUCGAAUGCAACUCAAUAAGCAUGAAUAGUUACAUUCGUCCCAAGUUAUUAUAUAGGAAUUUAAUAGUGGUAGUGAAUUAAUUCUUCAAUACGCCAUAAAUAUGAACUAUAAAGAGUUAGUCACAAGACGGCAGAGCAGCCGAAUUCACAGCAUCUUACCACAAUGAUGGCAAUUCUCCCUCCCACGUCUCCGACUACAGUUAUGGGAGGUUUCUCCUUGGCCAUCAUCACUGAAAAGGAAAGCAGAACUUGUUACUGCGAGUGCACUUGAGCUCAUGUGUACUGCGCUUUUUCCAAUCUAAAAUAAGUCUCAGUAGAUUGGGUAAAAUGGGUUGAGAAAAUGUUUUGCGAUUUAGGCAAAUUAUGCAUCCUGAAUUGUGGUGGCCGUUAUUGAAUUAUGUAAAUGAUUUCUGUUAGAUUAACACAAUGCUGUAAUAAAAAAAUGUCAAUCGA